UGGGGAAUAUUGGACAAUGGGCGCAAGCCUGAUCCAGCAAUGCCGCGUGGAUGAAGAAGGUCUUCGGAUUGUAAAGUCCUUUCGGCGGGGACGAUGAUGACGGUACCCGCAGAAGAAGCCCCGGCUAACUUCGUGCCAGCAGCCGCGGUAAUACGAAGGGGGCUAGCGUUACUCGGAAUGACCGGGCGUAAAGGGCGCGUAGGCGGUUUGGACAGUUAGGCGUGAAAUUCCUGGGCUCAACCUGGGGGCUGCGCUUAAUACAUCCAGACUUGAGUGUGGAAGAGGGUCGUGGAAUUCCCAGUGUAGAGGUGAAAUUCGUAGAUAUUGGGAAGAACACCGGUGGCGAAGGCGGCGACCUGGUCCAUUACUGACGCUGAGGCGCGAAAGCGUGGGGAGCAAACA
rnacentral:rRNA from 1 species